UCAGAUAUAAAACUGUGCUUGUCUCCUUUUGAAAGAAGCCUUCCCUAAUCACGCACUGUUUGUGACAGAGCAGUUUUUCAGACUGCAGCAGCAGAAGGCUCGUAUACACUGCAGACCAGUCAGGGUGCCCAUGCUGCACCAGCACUGAGCAUGUGAGCAUCAAAACUGGACCAAAGAGCAAUGGAAGAAGGUGUCCUGCUGUGAUGAGUCACACGUAGAUGGCCGGCUGCAUGUGCAUUACUUACCUAGGGAACACCCGGCACCAGGAUGAAUUAUGGGAAGAAGGUGUGCAUAUAUGAAACCUGCAGCUGUUGUGAAUGUGCAGUAGAAGCAGAACAUGGCUGUAGAGACAAGCUGAGCUCACCUGUACUCCAGCAGUGGAAAGUGGGAAGUAAGGUAAUGGUUAUAGUAGAGCAAACAAUAACGUAAUCAGAGCUCCUGUCUGCUCUGCUUCUCAGUCUCAAACUGCUGCAUUGGAGCAACGAUGCUAAAUUAUAUUAAACAUUUCUAGUCUAUAAGCUUGGAAACAUGGAAAGUAUUAAAAAGUCCAACAGGUGCAGAUACACAAAGAUGACAAAAUUCGUCUGAGAUGAUUACUUCAGAAACUCACGUAAUUUGAGGAGUAAUGACGUUCAUAUAGAUUCUCCACCUUAAA